GACUAAGUAGCUCAGUAGGUAGAGCAACGGACUGAAAAUCCGUGUGUCGGCGGUUCAAUUCUGCCCUUGGUCA
rnacentral:tRNA from 1 species